rnacentral:tRNA from 1 species
UAUAAAAAAGUGUUUAUGCACAUGGAGUUUUGAACUCUGUAGAGAUUUAUUCUUUUAUAA